GACGAACGCUGGCGGCGUGCUUAACACAUGCAAGUCGAACGGAAAGGCCCUGCUUUUGUGGGGUGCUCGAGUGGCGAACGGGUGAGUAACACGUGAGUAACCUGCCCUUGACUUUGGGAUAACUUCAGGAAACUGGGGCUAAUACCGGAUAGGAGCUCCUGCUGCAUGGUGGGGGUUGGAAAGUUUCGGCGGUUGGGGAUGGACUCGCGGCUUAUCAGCUUGUUGGUGGGGUAGUGGCUUACCAAGGCUUUGACGGGUAGCCGGCCUGGGAGGGUGACCGGCCACAUUGGGAUUGAGAUACGGCCCAGACUCCUACGGGAGGCAGCAGUGGGGAAUAUUGCACAAUGGGCGGAAGCCUGAUGCAGCAACGCCGCGUGCGGGAUGACGGCCUUCGGGUUGUAAACCGCUUUCGCCUGUGACGAAGCGUGAGUGACGGUAAUGGGUAAAGAAGCACCGGCUAACUACGUG
rnacentral:rRNA from 1 species